AACGAACGCUGGCGGCAUGCCUAACACAUGCAAGUCGAACGAAGGCUUCGGCCUUAGUGGCGCACGGGUGCGUAACGCGUGGGAAUCUGCCCUUAGGUUCGGAAUAACAGCUGGAAACGGCUGCUAAUACCGGAUGAUAUCGCGAGAUCAAAGAUUUAUCGCCUGAGGAUGAGCCUAAGUCGGAUUAGCUAGUUGGUGGGGUAAAGGCCUACCAAGGCGACGAUCUGUAGCGGGUCUGAGAGGAUGACCCGCCACACUGGGACUGAGACACGGCCCAGACUCCUACGGGAGGCAGCAGUGGGGAAUAUUGGACAAUGGGCGCAAGCCUGAUCCAGCAAUGCCGCGUGAGUGAUGAAGGCCCUAGGGUUGUAAAGCUCUUUUACCCGGGAAGAUAAUGACUGUACCGGGAGAAUAAGCCCCGGCUAACUCCGUGCCAGCAGCCGCAGUAA
rnacentral:rRNA from 1 species